AGAGUUUGAUCCUGGCUCAGGACGAACGCUGGCGGCGUGCCUAAUACAUGCAAGUCGAGCGGACAGAUGGGAGCUUGCUCCCUGAUGUUAGCGGCGGACGGGUGAGUAACACGUGGGUAACCUGCCUGUAAGACUGGGAUAACUCCGGGAAACCGGGGCUAAUACCGGAUGGUUGUUUGAACCGCAUGGUUCAAACAUAAAAGGUGGCUUCGGCUACCACUUACAGAUGGACCCGCGGCGCAUUAGCUAGUUGGUGAGGUAACGGCUCACCAAGGCGACGAUGCGUAGCCGACCUGAGAGGGUGAUCGGCCACACUGGGACUGAGACACGGCCCAGACUCCUACGGGAGGCAGCAGUAGGGAAUCUUCCGCAAUGGACGAAAGUCUGACGGAGCAACGCCCCGUGAGUGAUGAAGGUUUUCGGAUCGUAAAGCUCUGUUGUUAGGGAAGAACAAGUGCCGUUCGAAUAGGGCGGUACCUUGACGGUACCUAACCAGAAAGCCACGGCUAACUACGUGCCAGCAGCCGCGGUAAUACGUAGGUGGCAAGCGUUGUCCGGAAUUAUUGGGCGUAAAGGGCUCGCAGGCGGUUUCUUAAGUCUGAUGUGAAAGCCUCCGGCUCAACCGGGGAGGGUCAUUGGAAACUGGGGAACUUGAGUGCAGAAGAGGAGAGUGGAAUUCCACGUGUAGCGGUGAAAUGCGUAGAGAUGUGGAGGAACACCAGUGGCGAAGGCGACUCUCUGGUCUGUAACUGACGCUGAGGAGCGAAAGCGUGGGGAGCGAACAGGAUUAGAUACCCUGGUAGUCCACGCCGUAAACGAUGUCGACUUGGAGGUUGUGCCCUUGAGGCGUGGCUUCCGGAGCUAACGCGUUAAGUCGACCGCCUGGGGAGUACGGCCGCAAGGUUAAAACUCAAAUGAAUUGACGGGGGCCCGCACAAGCGGUGGAGCAUGUGGUUUAAUUCGAUGCAACGCGAAGAACCUUACCUGGUCUUGACAUCCACGGAAGUUUUCAGAGAUGAGAAUGUGCCUUCGGGAACCGUGAGACAGGUGCUGCAUGGCUGUCGUCAGCUCGUGUUGUGAAAUGUUGGGUUAAGUCCCGCAACGAGCGCAACCCUUAUCCUUUGUUGCCAGCGGUCCGGCCGGGAACUCAAAGGAGACUGCCAGUGAUAAACUGGAGGAAGGUGGGGAUGACGUCAAGUCAUCAUGGCCCUUACGACCAGGGCUACACACGUGCUACAAUGGCGCAUACAAAGAGAAGCGACCUCGCGAGAGCAAGCGGACCUCAUAAAGUGCGUCGUAGUCCGGAUUGGAGUCUGCAACUCGACUCCAUGAAGUCGGAAUCGCUAGUAAUCGUGGAUCAGAAUGCCACGGUGAAUACGUUCCCGGGCCUUGUACACAUCGCCCGUCACACCAUGGGAGUGGGUUGCAAAAGAAGUAGGUAGCUUAACCUUCGGGAGGGCGCUUACCACUUUGUGAUUCAUGACUGGGGUGAAGUCGUAACAAGGUA
rnacentral:rRNA from 1 species